CUGAACCAGCCAAGUAGCGUGAGGGAUGACUGCCCUAUGGGUUGUAAACUUCUUUUAUAAAGGAAUAAAGUCGGGUAUGCAUACCCGUUUGCAUGUACUUUAUGAAUAAGGAUCGGCUAACUCCGUGCCAGCAGCCGCGGUAAUACGGAGGAUCCGAGCGUUAUCCGGAUUUAUUGGGUUUAAAGGGAGCGUAGAUGGAUGUUUAAGUCAGUUGUGAAAGUUUGCGG
rnacentral:rRNA from 1 species